rnacentral:RNase_P_RNA from 1 species
UGAGUAAACCGGGUGACCGCCCUGGAUUUAAUCUGCCAGGGAGGAAAGUCCGAGCUCCACCGAGCAGGGUGCUGGGUAACACCCAGGAGGGGUGACCCUACGGAAAGUGCCACAGAAACACACCGCCAGCGGCUGGUUUAGCCAGUACGGGUAAGGGUGAAAUGGUGAGGUAAGAGCUCACCAGCAACCAGGAGACUGGUUGGCUGGGCAAACCCCACCCGGAGCAAGACCGAAUAAGAGGGCUCAACUACUCCAAAGUCUGAGGACUCUGGGGUAAGUUUAAGGUGCUCGGCCGAAGCCCUCGGGUUGGUCGCUUGACCCUGAUGGCAACAUCAGGGCUAGAUGGAUGGUCACCACUCCAUGUGGAGUACAGAACUCGGCUUACAGGUUUACUCGCCCA